UUUGUUUGAAAGAUGGCUUUGGCUAUCACUCUGGGAUGGACCUGCGGUGCAUUAGCUAGUUGGUAAGGUAACGGCUUACCAAGGCGAUGAUGCAUAGCCGAGUUGAGAGACUGAUCGGCCACAAUGGAACUGAGACACGGUCCAUACUCCUACGGGAGGCAGCAGUAGGGAAUCUUCCACAAUGGGCGCAAGCCUGAUGGAGCAACACCGCGUGAGUGAAGAAGGGUUUCGGCUCGUAAAGCUCUGUUGUUGGAGAAGAACGUGCGUGAGAGUAACUGUUCACGCAGUGACGGUAUCCAACCAGAAAGUCACGGCUAACUACGUGCCAGCAGCCGCGGUAAUACGUAGGUGGCAAGCGUUAUCCGGAUUUAUUGGGCGUAAAGCGAGCGCAGGCGGUUGCUUAGGUCUGAUGUGAAAGCCUUCGGCUUAACCGAAGAAGUG
rnacentral:rRNA from 2 species